GUAUUACAAUUAUGUUAUUGUGUGAAGCAUUCAAAUAAGCUCAAGUGUUUGUAAUGAAACAUAGACAAGAGACUUGCAAAAGUCUUUUGCCUACUGGAAAGUGCACAGGUGGAUAUUGGUUUUUUUGGGAGUGCACAUGCCCCUGAGGGGGGCCAGCACAUCCUUUAAAAUCAAUAAUGAUCCUUCCGCAGGUUCACCUACGGAAA
rnacentral:misc_RNA from 1 species